GGAGCCCCAAAGGCAGGAAGUGGGAUGGAAUGGGCUGGGUUGAGGGGAGCACCCCUGGGGUGGAACAGGGGGAGCAGGGGAUAGGAUACCUCAGGGCAGGGGCUUUGCCCCGAGGGUGUUCGGGUGUCUGAGGCACAGGGCUGGUGUGUGGCAACCUGUGGCCAGGCUGUGGCUACCACAGCCCCCGGCCCAGGCAGCACUGGUUCCCCAUUGAUGACCUGAUCAGUGCCUGCUGAGCCAUGCGUGGGACCUGCCGAGCCCCAACCGUUCCUUCUAAGGGCAUGAAGGUUACCCCAAUCACAGCGCCCACUGUGCUACUCAGAACCAUCAUUGUAGGGCUCUCUCCGGUGAAAGAAGAGGAGAGCGCGUGGUCAGACUUCUGUGCAUCUUGAGACACUCUAUGCUCACCGGAUCCACCCUGUGCUGCUCUUCAGAGCAUGUUGUGGCUGGAGAUGAGUCAGAAGGACAGCCAAGAGCUCAGGACUAGAACUAAGUACCUGCCCGUUAGCUCUAGGUGUUUGAAACCAAACAGGAAGAGACUGGCUGUCGGCAGAGCUGAGGGCAGCGACACAGCUCGCCUUGGAGUGGCUUCAGCGACCUGGGAUGUCGUUACAGUAGUGCCAGCAUCAAAGGCUCACAGCAGCUAACCGCUUGCAGGACACUGGUUCUCAGACGUUGCUGGAGUGAGUGUCAGUCCCAC